GCACGUAUGGCGGAAUUGGUAGACGCGCAGGCUUGAGGGGCUUGUAUUCGUAAGGAUGUGCAAGUUCGACUCUUGUUACGUGCA
rnacentral:tRNA from 5 species